rnacentral:rRNA from 1 species
AUUGAACGCUGGCGGCGUGCUUAACACAUGCAAGUCGAUCGGUAACAGGUGUAGCAAUACAUGCUGACGAGAGGCGGACGGGUGAGUAAUGCUUGGGAAUCUGCCUAUUAGUGGGGGACAACCCGGGGAAACUCGGGCUAAUACCGCAUACGCUCUACGGAGGAAAGCCGGGGACCGCAAGGCCUGGCGCUAAUAGAUGAGCCCAAGUCGGAUUAGCUAGUUGGUAGGGUAACGGCCUACCAAGGCGACAAUCCGUAGCUGGUCUGAGAGGACGACCAGCCACACCGGAACUGAGACACGGUCCGGACUCCUACGGGAGGCAGCAGUGGGGAAUAUUGGACAAUGGGGGCAACCCUGAUCCAGCGACGCCGCGUGGGUGAAGAAGGCCUGCGGGUUGUAAAGCCCUUUCGGUGGGAAGAAAAGUCUCGACCUAAUACGUCGGGACCUUGACGUAACCCACUAAAGAAGCACCGGCUAACUCUGUGCCAGCAGCCGCCGCUGU